GCUCAUCCUCCCAAGGUUCAAUUGUAGAAUUUACAGCAACUAGAUGAAUUAACAGGAUCUCCAGCAGACAUUGCAGCUGAUGUAGUGGGAGAUAAUCCUAAACAAAAUCAGAUUAAGAAAAGGGUAACAAGGCUCCUUUUGCUUCUGCAAAUUCCUUACAAUUACGUUGCAUCUUUAUGUUAGUUUGCAUUGAGACUCUGGAGAAGAUUCUGCGAGAAUAUUGUACAGUUGAUCUUCUCAUCAAAGUAUCAGCUUUUCUAAACGUGUCAAUCAGCUACAGCAAGAAGUACCCUAUAUUACAGUAUAUGCCAUCUGAUUCACCUUCUUACAAGGAUCAUCUUUGUAACCUUCUCUCAUGCUACAUCAAAGAGCAAGAUGACCUCUAUGCAACACCAGGAAUGAAAAGAAUUCCUGAAUUGUGAGCCCAGCCGCCAGGCAAUUUCAGAAACCUUCCUGUUGCUGCCUGUCUCCUGUCUUUUGAUGAGUUGGCUCAUUCUUUCGUUUUUUUUUAUUUAAGAGCAACAUUUACCUACAGCAUAGGAAUGCUCUGAAGAUUAAUUCAUUUGCGUACUAUGUGAUAUAUAUGCUGGGUAACAGAUAUCAGUUGUGGAAGAUAGAGUGCUGCUAGCAAGCUGUCCAGGACAAACUACCUGAUGGUGUCUGUUGACUUUAAGCUCCUUGCUUUGUCACUGCUCACAGAACAAAUCAGGGCAGAAGGGAAAGGCUCUCAGGGAUGGUGUUCUCUUUCUGAUCCACAGUAGAAAAAUGCCCUGUGGUCCACAGCCAGAAGACACUUGGGCAGACUGCUUCCAUGUCCUUAUGGAAGGUCAGGUGUUGAGCCUUGCAUAAAUUUCUACUUCAUUCCUGCCUGGGCUUUUCUGUCAAAAGUACUUUUAGCUCAGGUUGGAACUUAAUGUAUACGCAAAGAUGUUAAUCAUACAAACUUAACCCUCAAGCAAAACAAAGGAUGAUCAGUUUGUCUGUAUAGGUGUAGCCCAUAUAUCACGUUUCACUUUAUUAUUGAAUUCUAAUUUGUGGGGCUAAUGGACUCCUUAAAAAAAAGAAACACUUAGAAAUCUGUGCCUCCUCAAACAUAAGCAGUCUUAAGCCAGAUCUUAGUACAAAAACAACUAAUUAUUAAUAGAAAUAUUGCAAUGAAUACCUCAAACUCAAAAUGUCACUAUUCUUUUUGUCUACAAUAACAAUAUCCUGUGCUCCAUCC
rnacentral:lncRNA from 1 species